rnacentral:lncRNA from 1 species
CCAUCACGGGUGAUGAAACCAAGGUUUGAAUUGUAGUAGUCAAGUAUUUGAAAUGUAGGAACCAAGUGUUUCUAUUUUCUUCACCCUGUAGGUAUAACAAUAUUGUUCUUUUAUUCUUUUAUUCUGCAGUUUAAGCUUUGCAAGGUUAGGUCUGUCCAGUUUGGCCAGAAAGGCAUUCCAUACCUCAAUACAUAUGAUGGGCGUACUAUCCGCUACCCAGACCCUCUGAUCAAGGCUAAUGACACCAUCAAGCUGGACCUUGAGAGCAACAAAAUUGUUAAUUUCAUCAAGUUUGAUGUCGGAAAUGUUGUCAUGGUGACUGGAGGAAGGAAC